AAUCAUUCAUAACGGACAGAUUUCAAAGGCAGCAGGAUGAAAGAUAUGUGUCUGUGUUCAUCAAGUCAUGAAGACUCUGGAGUGGGACAAGAGAAGGAUGAUGGGGUGUAUAUUCCAAUAGACACAUUAAGUCACAUUGUGAUUUCAGUGAAAGCUGAUAAAUACAGAGGGCUGGACAGUGGUUUCAUUCAUUAGGUAAAGAGGUGGGACAAGGAUGCUGACAGGACAGGAGGAGGUGACAUUCAGCUGAAUUUCUCAUAGGUGGAUAAAGUAUGACAGCAAUUGUGAAGACCUUAGACGUGCAGUAUAUGGUUCUUCUCUCUUUCAUUUAUAUUGAUUUGACUUAAUUUUCUUGACAUUCAGCGCAGACAUUUUCAUCCAAAGCAACUUGAGGGAGAAAACAGAAGCAGUUCAUCCUAAAAGUGGGCUGCUGUAAUGUUUACAUCUAUGGAAAGAGGAGCUGAGAAGAAAAGAGACACUGGAAAGCAGUACUUCUUGUUGAGGACAAUCCUGAAUAGGAACACUUUCUCAUACACAUAGAUUAUUAUUAGUGUUUGAUUGUUUGUUUCAUUUUUAUGAAUUGUAUUGUUUUAAUUUUUCGUUUUAUUUGAAAUUACCCUAGUUAGAUUCAUGCUAAUACUUUAACUGGACCUUGUAUCUUUGCUGGCUGGCUGGUUGUAGAGUUGGUUUCACAUACACAUGAAGUUUCUAAUUAACUAACUUUUAAGUUCAGUUUGGUUUAAACUUGUAUUUACCCAUGGUAAUUCAUUUAAAUUUCUAUUCAUGCGUAUAUAUUAAUUUCAAUGAACUUCUGUAUUUGUGUAUAGCUGGCAAUUUGGGCAAGCUACAUUUAACACACAAAUGUAACUGUCACAAAGGUUUUUUUUAUUAUCAGUUUGUUCUAAACUUUUGUUUGUUUACUAAGGAUGAAAUUGCUUUGUAAUUUAAGUUGUUGUUGUUAGACUCAUGCCAAUAAUGUAUUUGAACAAACUAGUAUUUUUGUUUAUUGCUGGCAGUUUAUACUAGAAGAGUUUUAACACAUACAAUGUCGUAGUGUUAUUGACUUGUGUGCUAUUGAUUAAUAAAAAGGCAAACAAUUUGAAAGUAAUUUUUCGUGUGAUUUAUUUAUUAAUAUAAUUUGGGCAAGAUUAGGCUGAGUUAUGGCUCAGUUUUGGAAGUUCUGGUUAAAUGCUGGUUUUAAUAUGGUUGACCUAUGGCUGAGAACUGGU